UCCUUCAUUCCACCGGAGUCUGUCUCUAGCUAACCAGAUUUCAGUGGAGUGAAGCACA
rnacentral:pre_miRNA from 1 species